UCAUAGCCCUGAUAGUAGCGGUUACCCCGGAGUAUGCGUAGGAGGGUUGGGGGAAUUGGGGUGGGAAAUGUGGGGCGAGGAGUAUGAGCGGAUAGCAGGAAAUAGC
rnacentral:misc_RNA from 1 species